rnacentral:misc_RNA from 1 species
AGCGUCAUUUCAACCAUCAAGCUCUGCUUGCGUUGGGGAUCCGCGGCUGCCCGCGGUCCCUCAAAAACAGUGGCGGGCUCGCUAGUCACACCGAGCGUAGUAACUCUACAUCGUUCUGGUCGUGCGGCGGGUUCUUGCCGUAAAACCCCCCAAUUUCUAAGGUUGACCUCGGAUCAGGUAGGAAUACCCGCUGAACUUAA